CAGCUCGUGUUGUGAAAUGUUGGGUUAAGUCCCGCAACGAGCGCAACCCUUAUCCUUUGUUGCCAGCGGUUCGGCCGGGAACUCAAAGGAGACUGCCAGUGAUAAACUGGAGGAAGGUGGGGAUGACGUCAAGUCAUCAUGGCCCUUACGAGUAGGGCUACACACGUGCUACAAUGGCGUAUACAAAGAGAAGCGACCUCGCGAGAGCAAGCGGACCUCAUAAAGUACGUCGUAGUCCGGAUUGGAGUCUGCAACUCGACUCCAUGAAGUCGGAAUCGCUAGUAAUCCUGGAUCAGAAUGCCACGGUGAAUACGUUCCCGGGCCUUGUACACACCGCCCGUCACACCAUGGGAAUGGGUUGCAAAAAAAAUAACUAACUUAACCUUCCGGAG
rnacentral:rRNA from 1 species